rnacentral:lncRNA from 1 species
UGAGCCACGAAGGGAACUCCAUACCUUCUUUUUCUUUUUAUGGCGGCACCCUUGGCAUACGGAAGUUCCUGGGCCAGGGGUUGAAUCCAAGCCGCAGCUGCAACCUAUACCCACAGCUCUGUGGCAACACUGGAUCCUUUAACCCAGCACACUGGGCCAGGGAAGGAACCUGCACCUCUGCAGCAACCCAAGCCACUGUAGUUGGAUUCUUAACUCGCUGUGCCACAGUGGGAACUCCUCAGCUCCAUUUUUAAAGCCCCUUAUAGAGUAGGUAUUUUCUGUAUUUGCUACCUACUUUGUGGUGGCGUUCUGCCUUCUUCCACUGCAGAGCAAGCUCCAUGUGGUCAGGGACCAUGGUUGCCUGGUUUACUGUCCUUGUCCUAGAACGGCCCAGGCACAUAACAGGUACGGAGCGGCUGCUGUGUGGAUAAGCAGGUGGAUGGGUGGAUGUCCACGCUCCUUCCUUGCCUACUUCCUGCCUCCCCCCUGCCCAUUUCGUCAGUCAUCAUCUGUCCUGCUUCCUCAGGGCCUUGUUUUCUUUUCCUUUGUUUCUUUUUUUAAUUGCACACACACACAUCCCUUUCACACCUCUGCCCCUGCCUCUGCCAGCUAUGAGCUCCAGGGCAUCCUUUUCCCCCACCGUGCCUUCCUGUCUUGGAUACUGAAGCAAAUCGAAAUCCACCUGGACCCCGUCUAGACCCCACUACCUCCAUGAAGUUUUCUUUGCAUCCUGACAGCUCUAAACUUAUUUCUUUGUCAGUAAUAUUAGCCUUUUUGCUUUAUAUUGUUGAGUUAAAUUAAAUCCGUGUGUGUGGUUUUAGAGGAAACACACACACACACCCCUAGUUUCGCAUCUCCUUGCGGGCAGGGAUGACAUUUCUUUGGUGCCUCCCGUGGUACUUAGAGCAGGCUGGUGCUCAGUACACGUGCUGGUUUGAAAUGAUGACUCUUUGCUGAUGCCCUCCUGACCUUGUUGAGGUGGGUUUACUUUGUGGAGUGCCUGUAUUGAGGACCACAUUGCAGUUGCAGCAACAAAUCGGAAUUUAUCAGAAGGAGUGCAUCGAUUGUCAGCCUGGUGAAUCUAAAUUUUCUCUUAUAAAAAUGCCUUAAAGUCAGGUAGCAGACACAGGCCUUUGUGUCAGCCAGGGCCGGUGGAGGCGAGAGGAGGGGAAGUGCGCUUUCCCCGCGGGCUUGUCCUUUUUCAUCUGGCAGAUACUGAUUAUCUUCCUCUCACGUUUCUUUAUUGCAGUGGGAAAAGGUGACUUGUUUAUCAUCCUUUGCCCUGGCACCAGUAGUGAUGUUUGUAAAAGUAAAUCGCUUCAAAUGGAUUAGAUUUAUUUUGUACAGUUUUUUCUUUCAUCAGUUGAAAGAGCUGAAUUUUUACAAUGGACUUAGGUUGGUCUCUCUUGAAAUCCUGUUCCGGGAGUUCCACAUUGUGGCUCAGUGGGUUAAGAAUGCGACUCGUGUCCACAAGGAUGCAGGUUCAAUCCCUGGCCUCACUCAGUGGGUUAAGGAUGCGGCACUGCGAUGAGCUGCAGUGUACUUUGCAGGUGCGGUUUGGAUCUGGCAUUGCUCUGGCUGUGAUGUAGACCAGCAGCUGUAGCUCUGAUUCAUCUCCUAGCCCGGGAGUCUCCAUAUGCCGUGGGUGUGGCCCUAAAAAGAAAAAAAGAAAUUUUUCCAAGUCCAGCUCAAGGGUUGCAUUUUAGUGCCUGAUGAGUGACUGGCUUAGUUUCCCAGUGGAGUCAGUAUCUGCUUGGUGGCACCAUCUAAUCUGUAAUGCCCUUUUUCUUCAUGGAACAGCUCUUACUCAGCACAGAGUACCCAUUGGUGUUAAUUAGCUCUGAAAUCUGCUUCUUCCUUUAAAUUGUAUGAGCACCAAGUAUCAUAAAAAAAAUUACAGCCUGUUAUUAGCUGAUGCAGUUUAUUUCCAUCAGAUUGUCAUGGAACAUAUGGGCAGUCAUGAAUCUUCAAUUGUGGUAAUUAGGCAGACUUCCCCAAAUCCAGUAGAAUGUAGUUUAUGGAGACUUCGUUGCUGAAAUACAGUAAUAUAGAUACAGUCUGGAAGUUGGAGCUUGAAAUCGGUAGGCUUCAGCACAAAGAGCUUGGGUAGCUCUCCUUUUCUUGAAAUGAAGGUGUGAGGUCCCUCGUUGCUUACAGGCUCUGUGAGAUCUUCAGAGUAUUGACUUAAAUGUCAUCACUGUGGUAGUUACAAGGGCUCUACCCCCAGACACGGGUGGCCCUUACCUAGAGGGGACUGCACUUCCCAGGCUCCGAGUGGCGGAGGGCGUCAGGUGACUCGCUGUGGCUGGGGGUGUGAGUGGAGGUGUGUCCUGCCCAGAGGAGCCAGAGUCUCACGCCCCUCCCUCUGCCUCCGUGACUGCCAGUGGCUCCAGAGGGUGUCUGUUUUGUCCACCUGGGACCUGAGGACACUGCCAGGCAGAGAACUGGGAUGGACACAUCUGAUCUGAGAUGGACCCGUGUAACAAAGUAAACCUUUGGGAUUUUUCAGUUGUUUGUUACCACAGUAUCACACAGCCCAGCAGUUCUCAAACCUUGGGUGUGCAAGACCCUGUACAUUAUCGAGGACUCCAAAGAGCUGUUGUUUGUAUGGAUUACAGCCAUCAAUAUUUAAUUUGAGAUUAAAACUGAAUAAUUGAUAAAAGGUGAAAUAAGACACAGUGUACUUCUUAUAUUUCAGUAUAUGCGCAAGAAGAUUUAAGGACUUCACAGUAACUGUGUGUUGCAUGAUGAGGUUGCAGAUACACAGAUAGCAGGUAUAACAAGAGAUAGCUAGUCAUCGGAAAACUCCUAUUUAUACUGUAAAGCUACCACCUUAGAAAUUUCCAGAAAACAUAAAAAUACUCAGAUACAGGGAGUUCCCAUCCUGGCCUCGCUCUUUGGUUUGGGGAUCUAGCGUUGCCCUGAGCUGGUGGUGUAGGUCACAGAUGCAGCUUGGAUCCUGUGUGACUGUGGUGUAGGCCAGCAGCUGUAGCUCUGAUUCGACCCAUAGCCUGGGAACCUCUGUAUGCCACAGGUGUGGCCCUAAAAAGCUUAAAAAAAAAAAAAAAA